GCCUCUGUAGUUUAAUGGAUAAAAUCCGUGGCUUCGAACCACGUGAUGGGGGUUCGAUUCCCUCCGGAGGCA
rnacentral:tRNA from 1 species